rnacentral:rRNA from 1 species
AGCGAACGCUGGCGGCAGGCUUAACACAUGCAAGUCGAGCGGGCAUCUUCGGAUGUCAGCGGCAGACGGGUGAGUAGCACGUGGGAACGUACCCUUCGGUUCGGAACAACUCUGGGAAACUGGAGCUAAUACCGGAUACGCCCUUAUGGGGAAAGGUUUACUGCCGAAGGAUCGGCCCGCGUCUGAUUAGCUAGUUGGUGGGGUAACGGCCUACCAAGGCGACGAUCAGUAGCUGGUCUGAGAGGAUGAUCAGCCACACUGGGACUGAGACACGGCCCAGACUCCUACGGGAGGCAGCAGUGGGGAAUAUUGGACAAUGGGCGCAAGCCUGAUCCAGCCAUGCCGCGUGAGUGAUGAAGGCCUUAGGGUUGUAAAGCUCUUUUGUCCGGGACGAUAAUGACGGUACCGGAAGAAUAAGCCCCGGCUAACUUCGUG